ACAAAUUGUUAAUUGAAUAAUAAGGGAUAAAGGGAUUUCAAGUGCUUUUAGUAACUUUACCCAAAUUCUAUAUUGAAUAACACUUGAUUUGAAAAGAGUUUUUAAAAUCAUUAGUUGAAUAACCUGAGAUUUUAACAAAAUCUCAAAGUCUCUUAAAAUUUUUGUUUCAAUACAUCCCUCUGAUUAUGGCAUUGCAGCCCUGUUUUCUGCCCUCUUCACUUCGCUCUCUUUUCCAUUAAUCUAUUGGAAUAGAUCUGAAAUAGCUUUUCCCAAGAGAAGGCUGCAGUCAUGAAGUAAAACUUAUGGCCUAAACAUCAUUAAAGAUCGUUUUUCUCUAAGACAGUCCUAUCGAUCAGAGAAAAUAUCAUCAAGAAUCAAAAACAGCAGUUUUAAGGAAAGGAGGGAUAUAAAUUAAAAAAACUCCAUUGAAUGGCUUUGUGGAACUGGAACAUAAAAAGAGGAUGAAAGCGAUCAAGAGAAAUUAGAGCUUUGAUCUUCACAUGAUUUGGUUAUUCCUGAAUGCUCCGGAAACGGUUUCAGAAUCUCUCCUCUGCCACAACCUACACCGCUUCCGCAGUUUCUAAACAGAGUUCUUCACACUCUACCUUUGCCAGAAAUGUCCAAGCCAGAGACGCUUUUGUCGCAACUAUCUGCAAAAGUUUGUGCUUCUUCCUCUAAACCUCCACGCCACCACUGUCAUAACAACCUCAAAUCGAAUAAUAUUAGUGGAGGAGGAGACGAUCGGGUUGCUAUUUGGAUACACAAUGCAAAGUUCUACAAAGAACGAAUAACGGAAGUGCAAGACUUCAUCCCUAGGAAAACACCUUCUUGAGACUUCAGGACUUUACCACUCUCUUGAAAUCCCUUAACGCAACCGACGAUCAAAUCUGCUCUUCUUUGGGAAAAAAAUAAGCCAAGAUCAGCACAAAUCGAUCCGUUGCGGACCUGAUCUGAUUUUAAACCUUUCUUUUGUUUCAGGGGAAGGGUUGUGUUUACAGCAACCAGAAGCAUUGGUGAAGAUAGUGCCGACUAAAGAAAGAGAGUUGAAGUUGUGUAGCUACAAAGGAGUAGUAGAUAGAUGAGCUUGGCUCUGCUGAGAAAUUUUUGAAGUUGUUUGUGGUAGUAUCAUUUACGUUUCAAAUAGCUGAAGCAAUGCUUUAUAGAGAGACGUUUGAAGAUGAAGUGGUUCAUCUCAGAAACUCUUUCUCAAUGCUUGAGGUUAUUCAUGAAGUUCUUAGAAGCUGUCCUUAAGACUGGGAACAAGAUGAAUGUAGGAACCAUAUGUGGUGGCGCAAAAAUCCUCAAGUUUAUGCUCUGCUCAAGCUCUCUGAUGUUAAGGGCACUGAUGGGAAGACAACUCAACUCCACUUUGUCAUGCAUGCAGGCAUGUCCUUGCCAUAAGGCAGGUGAAGCACUUGCUUGAUGCCACAUUUUAUAUAGUAAAAAUAAGGUCAUAUUUCAUACAAUGUUUUGGA